rnacentral:lncRNA from 1 species
UCCAGCCAGUGAGGGGACAGAGGGACAGCAGGAGGGAGGGAAAGGUAUAGGAGGUGGGGGUGGGGGUUUCAGCCAGUCUCUUUCCCAGCAGUGAUGCCGUCUCAGCCACCAGUUCUCUGCCAGCGGGGUCAGCACAGGCAUGGUGCAGAACAUUGAGUUAUGGGGGUCCAGGGUAAACUUGGCUACCUUGGUAAACAUGGCUACAAGCUCCUUUAUAUAACUUUAGGUUUCGGGACACAGCAUGGAAACCACUACUCUAGACGACAGCCAUGUGACAUGCCUGCCCCCACUUUGCCUCCCACCACAAUUGGAAGCUUCCUGAGGCCUUCACCAGAGGCAGAUACUGGCACCAUGCUUCCUAUACAGCCUGCAGAACGGUGAGCCAAUUAAACCUCUUUUCUUACCCAACCUCAAAUAUACGUUUAUAGUAGUGCAAAUGGACUCCUACACCACUGACAGAGAUUUUGUGGCUCAUCUGAUUGCUCUUUUUUACUCUAGGGAAAUCUUUGAACACCUCAGUUUGUCAGUGGCCACAUCUGUACAACGGGCUACUGGAAAUGUGCUCACCUUCAGAAGAUGCUAUUUCAAACCCACGCAUUUGCCCUGAGCCAUCUGCUUUCUAGAUGGCCCAUCUUGUAGCAACUCAUAGAUGACUUUUUCAGAUACUUGGUUGGGGGCGGGGUCAAGACCGUGUUUUGAGAAUAGACUUUUUCCCUGUGGGAAACUGAAAGGCUUGUGGUGUAAUGAUCCCUGGCCUGGGGCCUCCUUUGCACAGUUAAUUAAUUCCAACGACAAAUAUUUACUGUGCAUCGAGCGUAGCAGGCAGUGCCCUGACUGAUUAAGAUGAUCUGAUAUGGUAAUGCAGGGUGGACUUGAGAAAUUAAUGAUUUUAAAAUGUAGUUAGCAACCUAGGGUUCUGGAGGGACAAUGCCAGACUUUCUUCUGGUGUUCAAACCGUCCCAGACUGUGAAGGAACUGGUCCGUGAUGUCUGCCUGGGCUGCUUUGCCUCUGCUCCAUAGCUGAGGGAAGGGGCAGCUCUUGGCUCUCUGCCAGUGUUUGUAAUCCGCACAGCAGGCUCCCAUGUCUUCUGGGUGGGCCUGCAUCUUUUGUUACAUAUUUGUCCCCGAAUCCAGACCACUUCUGAGCUCUCUGGGGAGAAUGUGCCCAAGAGCUGUUCAGUGGGGUGGGCAGGCUGGUGGAAGUCCUCAAGCCUAAUUUGUUCCGCUUCCCUUCAGCCCUUCAGUCCUAAUUCAUUUGUUUGUAUUUGGGGGAAAAAAAAUCUCUCAUUAUUGUCUAUCCUUUAUUUCCUGGAAUUCAACAUGAAAGUUGUCAUUGUUUUAGUUUGUGGCCUCCAAAGAAAUAAACCAUUUGAGCAACAACUGCAACAAUAGCAACAAUUCUUCAUGGCAUGGGCGUCAGACCGGUUGACUUUGGAAUCUAGGUGUCCAUUUUGUUAGAAUUGAAUGUGCACUGGGUUUGGGGUGGGUGUGAGGGAGGCUGUAUUUAUUUUUGAACUUCUUUCGCCCAUAAUGAAAACCAGCUGCCUCUCCAACAAGUGCAUUACUCUUCCCAUAGAAAGCCUCAUGGACAGACUGAAGCUACAGGGGUGGCAAGUCACAUAGAUGGAUGUUUCUAAUUUGAUCUAGUGAGCUUCACCCUCUAUCUCUCGGUCCUCCAGUCCUUGCUCGUGGGUUGAUGGACACCUUGUCUCCUUCCAUACUUGUGGAACCUAGGGGUACUUUUAGUUAGUGGAGGAGAAAUGUGUCUCUUCUCCCCACUGAUUCGCCAGGGUGGACAUGGAGGGGACCUCCCCACCCUGGGAAAGGUGGCCCCAUUCAGCUUGAGUCUGGAGUGAGACCAAACUUUCCUGCCUGCUGCAUACAACUUCAACUCCAAGUCCAAGCUGGGCCCGUUAUUUUGGCUGCUUGGAGAACAUUCCUUCCCAUGUGCUGAUGCAUCAGGGUAUCUCCAGCUUCCUUU